CCUACGUGAGGCAGCAGUGGGGAAUAUUGGACAAUGGGGGAAACCCUGAUCCAGCGACGCCGCGUGAGUGAAGAAGUAUUUCGGUACGUAAAGCUCUAUCAGCAGGAAAGAAAAUGACGGUACCUGACUAAGAAGCCCCGGCUAACUACGUGCCAGCAGCCGCGGUAAUACGUAGGGGGCAAGCGUUAUCCGGAUUGACUGGGUGUAAAGGGAGCGUAGACGGCAGCGCAAGUCUGGAGUGAAAUGGCGGGGCCAAACCCCGGAACUGCUCUGGAAACUGUGAAGCUGGAGGGAAGGGGAGGUAGGGGGAAUGCAUGGGGUAGGGGUGAAAU
rnacentral:rRNA from 1 species